rnacentral:tRNA from 1 species
AGUGGUUAAGUGCUUGACUGAUAACCAAAAGGUUGGUGGUUCAAAUCCACCAUCCACUC